GUACACUCCUGCGGGAGGCAGCAGUGGGGAAUUUUGGACAAUGGGCGAAAGCCUGAUCCAGCAAUGCCGCGUGAGUGAAGAAGGCCUUCGGGUUGUAAAGCUCUUUUGUCAGGGAAGAAACGGUGAAAGCUAAUAUCUUUUGCUAAUGACGGUACCUGAAGAAUAAGCACCGGCUAACUACGUGCCAGCAGCCGCGGUAAUACGUAGGGUGCAAGCGUUAAUCGGAAUUACUGGGCGUAAAGCGUGCGCAGGCGGUUUUGUAAGUCUGAUGUGAAAUCCCCGGGCUCAACCUGGGAAUUGCAUUGGAGACUGCAAGGCUAGAAUCUGGCAGAGGGGGGUAGAAUUCCACGUGUAGCAGUGAAAUGCGUAGAUAUGUGGAGGAACACCGAUGGCGAAGGCAGCCCCCUGGGUCAAGAUUGACGCUCAUGCACGAAAGCGUGGGGAGCAAACAGGAUUAGAUACCCCUGUAGUCCCAUG
rnacentral:rRNA from 1 species